CGUAGGUGGCGAGCGUUAUCCGGAAUGAUUGGGCGUAAAGGGUGCGUAGGUGGCAGAUCAAGUCUGGAGUAAAAGGUAUGGGCUCAACCCGUACUUGCUCUGGAAACUGAUCAGCUAGAGAACAGAAGAGGACGGCGGAACUCCAUGUGUAGCGGUAAAAUAGCGUAGAUAUAUGGAAGAACACCGGUGGCGAAGGCGGCCGUCUGGUCUGGAUUCUGACACUGAAGCACGAAAGCGUGGGGAGCAAAUAGGAUU
rnacentral:rRNA from 1 species